rnacentral:lncRNA from 1 species
CAGGCCCAACUUGCUGUUUCUGAAGCAAAACCCCGUCUUCAAACUACAGGAGGAUAUCCUGGUCCCAAGGGAGAAAAGAAUUUUUCCCCUAUGAUUGUUGAGCUUGGCGUUUCUUACCUCCCAAUCUCUCCUACCUAGAGCACGCUGCUUCCUCCAUCCCCAUUGUGUUCCAUGCCAUGAUCGCCAUCUUUGACCUAAGUACAGACCGUGCCUCCAUGCUCCUUCACCCUUCAUCUCCUAUGUCUUCUAUCGGGGCACUUCUGCCAUCUCCACCUCCUCCUACUGCUUCUAGCUUGUAACAUGUGCCAUGGAACAAUCUUGCUCCUUCCUAGAGGUUGGUGGAGGGUAUUUAGCGAUGGAAGAGAAGUUGGUCUCUCUGUUUGUGGAGCCAAGUCUGUUUUUUUCUUCCCUUGUCAAUGAGAGCAAAAUAGAGGCAACAUUAAUUGACUGUAGCUUGCUAAUUUUAGCAAGACCAGGUGGUUCUUGUCAAUACCCACUGCUUUCUAAUUUUAUCUUUAUUGCAGAGAAUUUUCAUCCAAAGUUAGUUAAUGACUCUAUAUUGGCACUUAGAAAAAGAAAAUAAAAGAAUGGCUUUCUGUACAAAAGGGAGAACUCCUCAUAAACUUAUGUUUUUAAAACAAAUUGUGAAUUUUUCACACCCCUUUUUUUUCUUUAGAAAGACCUAAGGGACUGCAACAUGUUGCUAUCUGGAAAUAUGUUGUUCUAUCAUCAUUCACUUAAAUAGAAGAUAAACUGGAGGGUCUAUUUCACCUUUAAUUUCUGUUUUUAAUAAAUUUAAUGCAAAACAGAAACUCGUAGUUGGGAAGGUGCUUGACUGAUUAAUUGUGUUUUAGAAAGUUACCAUAGGAUAUUUGUCAUCCUUGCUCCAAAUACAGGAUAGGACUAUAAAUCUAAAGGAUUGUUCUCUCAUGGCUAAUAGCUUUCAUAACAUGGGAUGAAUAUCAGUUAUCGUUCCUCUCUAAAAAUCUUCUGCAGGGCUUGGUGAAAAGAAUAAUGGAAUUGAAUCAAUGUGUGACAUCUUUAUUACUGCUAUUAUUAUACCACUAUCAAAAAUAAAUAUUAUCAUCAUUAUCAUUAUUAUAGCACUUAUAUAAUUUUUACAAUGGAAAUUUUCCUGUUCAACUGGCCUUGAAUGUUAAAUGAGUCACAUGUAUGGUCUCGAUGGAAGAGUUGGUUCUCUUGAUGUAAGAGUUCCUUACUUUUUGGAAAAGACUAUUACCUGCUAUGGAGAAUGCUCAUUAAGAAUGGGCAAGUAGACCUAUUGGCUUUGCACUUCAAGCUCCAUCUAGCAAAUUUAUAUCAAAAUUGAUACUUCUGAUGUAACUGAGAAUAACAAUGCAAGUCUGCAGAGGUUUAUAUGUUUAGUUAAGAUCUGCCGUACCGAUUGUACCGAUGUACUGGUGGGCGUCGAUACCGGUACGGUACCAGUACAAUACUGAAUCGAACCGGUACUGUACCAGCAAAGAAAAAAAAUAUUGAGCGGACGCGCACGCGUCUGCAUUAAAUGCCACUUUGUGGCAUUGAAUAUCCCGCACGGGGCAGGGCGAACGGUACUAGUUUGUAUCGUGCGAACUGGGCCGGUUCGCACCGGUACACGUACGGAACCAUUUGGUUCCGAAUCCUUCUGGGUCAGCGGCACCGAUCCGGUACGAGCUGAACCGACUGUUCAGCAUAUCAUGUGUUUAGCUCACACUUUGAGAUACAAUUUACAUAGUUGUGAAUAUUUCAUGCAAACAUCUUGUUUGAUGUGACAUCGUUAUUGCUAAUUACAGGUUUAUGCUCUCUCCAGGGAAAGGGAUACAUUAAGGAGAGAACAAAGUAAAAAAAGUGAUGCAGCUGCUCUUUUGAGAGAGAAAGAUGAGAUAAUCAAUCAAGUUAUGGCUGAAGGUAGAUCUGAAAGGAUCCAUAUGCAUACUAUUUCUACAAAUCAAUUUGUUGACCUUAGAAUAUUUUUUCCACAAAUUUUGCACAUUAUUUCUUAAAUUGUUAUAUGCAACAUUUAGGGUAAUACUUAUUUCAGUGUUGCGGUUACUUAGUUUAUCUUCCUUAAUGUGGUUAUACAUAGACAUUGGCAGUAUAAAAGAAUUUUAUCUAUAGGAAGUAAGGGAAAUAAUUUUUCAAAGCUGGUUAAAAAAAAAAGAAAAUAAAUCGAGGAAGAAUAGUCUAUACAAGAUAAUCGUAGGAAUCUCAGUGGCAUCUAUAUAUGUUGAUACGACCAUAAUCAUCUCAAACUUCUAUAUAUGUAGGUAUGUCACUUAUAAGAGUAACACACUGAUUACCUAAUGAUUGAGUUUUGAUUAUUUACUUCUGGAAUUUACUUGAAAAAGCUAGUAUAGUUUCAGAAUAUGCUGCAGCUGAGCUUGAGGCCUACUGUUUCUGAUUUCUUUUCAUUCUUGUUUGUUUGGCCGAAAUUGUCCAAAUCUGGCAAACGUGUGACUGAGAUGGUUAAUGAGACUGAUAUUUAUACCACCAAUUUUUUUCUUUAAAAAAUUUUCCAGAAGAUCGAUAAAAUGAUUAGAAUACAAUAGACCUGGAAAUAUAAGAAACUUUAUUGGAUAAAAUAUUGUUGUUGAUUUGUGUCUUGACUUCAUAAUAAUAACUUGGAAUUCUCAUAUGAUGAGAAUGAGGUCAGACGUGUUGGUUCUUUUAUAAAUGUUUCAGGUCAACCCUCCCUCCCAACCCAUCAUCACCAUUCUCCACCAUCAGGUGAACUGAAGUAGGCAUGCUCAGCUAGUUAUCUCUUGAACUUGUGGAGCUGGAAUGAGUAUAGAUUUCAAGAAAAUUUUGGUAAACCUUGCUCCGUUUCUGUGGACCUAAAUUAUAUAGGUAUUGUGUAAGCAUAGUUUAGAGUUCUUGAAAGAUAUUUGCUGAAACAACCUUUUGGCUAGCCAAAGUAGUUUAAGAAUUCACAAGCAGUGCAGUGAGAUACGCAAUCCACCUUCUCUAUGAUACAGUGGUACCCCGUACCCGGAUCCUUGAAUUUAGUUCACAUCAUGAAUUUUCCAGGUGGCAGAUUAACUAGAAAAGAUUUAAAACCCUAUAGUGUGCCAUAUCACUGUUUUUCUGCAAAAAAGCCAUCAUGGUGUUAAGAUUAAGGAAGCUUAUUCUGUCGAUUUUUUACCCAAGCGGUAGAUGAUGCCUGCAACAUAAUGGAGUCUCAAGUAAGAUGAGAGUCAUCUCUACAUUCCAUGUGAAUCAUAUUUGAGACAAUGUACAUAAUUUUACUGUCUUCUUGUCUCAACUGUUGCUUGCUAUCUGAUGCAUGGCAUCUCUUUGUGGUUUUGGAUGGAUAUAUUCUGCAAUUUUGCACUGUUCCUUACAUGGAUUUGUUUUACUUUUGGAACAGGUGAAGAGCUAUCUAAAAAGCAAGCUGCCCAGGAAGCAACUAUCAAGAAACUAAGGACACAGGCAUGCAAUUAGAUUCUUUCUUCUCAUUUUUUUUUCAAAUCAUCAUUAACAUUUUGUCAAAUCAUUGACAUUCUUGCUUAUAGAAUACUAAUUUUAAUGUUAUUUUCUGAUCUGUUUUGUUGGAGCCAGAUCAGAGAGUUUGAGGAAGAGAAGCAAAGGCUCAACUCGAAGUUUCAGGUAGUUGAGUGAUUAAUCUGUACGCUCAGUAGAUGAUAUUUAGUAAAUUAUAUUCUGGAAAAAUUUUCCUCCCAUAUAUAUAUAUAUAUAUAUAUAUAUAUAUAUAUAUCUCUAUAUUAGUAAUAAUAGUGAAGAACUAUCUAAAAAGCAAGCUGCCCAAGAAGCAACUAUCAGGAAACUAAGGGCACAGAUCAGGGAGUUUGAGGAAGAAAAGCAAAGGCUCAACUCAAAGCUUCUUACUACUACUAUAUAUAUAUAUAUAUAUAUAUAUAUAUAUAUAUUCCUCAUAAUUUGAAAUAAUGAAUUUGUUUCGAUUUAAAUGAGGUUUUAUGAACUGUAAGUUGUUCUAUGUGAGAGAAUGCUUUUUUUGUCUCUUGAUGUCUUCGAGAUCAAUAGUUAAUUAUAACUUUCUCUACAAUAAUGUCGACCAGGCAAGACAGACUGGAUCCUAAGAUUCAUUUUAGGAAUAUCCUACAAUCCUAUGUUGGAUAUCUCAUAUUCCUCUUGAACCCAUCGUGGAGCUCAUGCACCUACUCCAAUAUGCCUUUUGAGCUUUCUUAAACUUAUAACUAGAAAUUGCUAUUAUGUUUACAUAUAAUCACUUUAAACUUGAGUAUAAAGUAACCUUAUUUUUCCUCUCCUGAAUCUAGAUGCUACCAAUAUUAUGAAAGUAAUAUCAUUAAAUAAACUUUUAAAUUUUACAUCGACUUUUAUGGUGAAUUGAAUUAAAUGCUUCUUCAGCAGUGCUGUGUUUUUCAAGAUUUAAGGAUCAUUAUUUCUCUAAACUUGCCACGGUUUUUGCUCCCUGCGCAUCUAAAGUUAAGAUAUGGAAGCAGCAUGAUUCUGUUAUUGGUUUCAAGAUUCAUGAAGAUGUAUAUCAGGGAACUGGAGUUAUAAGAUACAGAGGCACAUAUUAAGUUUCUAAAAUUUGAAGAGUUCCAAGGGAAAGCUUCAUUCAAAUUUCAAUAAACUUUGGUAUGUGUUUGUUUAUCUUUUGAAAGUUUCUAAACGAUGAUCCUUUGAUUCUUUGAAUCCCAGCUUUAUCUUCUGAAAUUUCCAUUUUUAUUUUAGAAUGCAUGUGGUAGAAGCCUUUUUGUCCAUUUAAAUCUGUCUGUAUUAGGGUGCAUGUGUAGUUCAGAUUUUGUUCAACAUAACUAUUAAUUUUGACAUUACAGGCUUCAAUACCACUUUUGCUUUACAUGCAAUUUUUAAUUAUUCAUUCAUGGGUUAUUCUAGGUGGAGGAGUCAAAGGUGGAGAGUAUUAAAAGAGACAAGGCAGCAACUGAAAAGUUGCUGCAAGAAACCCUAGAGAGAAAUCUAGCAGAACUUGCUUCUCAGAAGGAAUUUUAUACCAAUGCACUCAAUGCAGCCAAGGAGGCUGAAGCAUUAGCAGAGGCACGGGCCAACAGUGAAGCCAGAGCAGAACUUGAGAAUCGUUUGAGGGAGGGUAGUGAACGUGAAGCUAUGCUGGUUCAAACACUUGAGGAGCUGAGGCAAGCUCUGAGCAGAGCAGAGCAACAGGUACUUUUUGAACCCAGUUAUCUCUGUUUAUCUGUUACUAGGACCUGUUAUGCAUUUGUAUGGAGAAUUUGUAGUUUUUCUGUAGUUUGUUUAGACCUAGUUUUGACCCAUGUUUUUCCACUAACCCUAUCUUCUAUGUUAAAUUAAUCUGUCAUGGAGAGUAACUCAUUUACAACUGGGUCAACUAUUGCAGGCAGCUUUCCGGGAAGAAAUGCUUAGAAGGGAUAUUGAUGAUCUUCAAAAGCGCUAUCAAGUGUGUGAUACUUUGUCUCUCUUUCUUUUAAAUGCUUCUAUUUAGUUAUGACACGGUUUUCAAGGAUUCGAGCUUUAAUUAGAUUAGCUGAUAUCCAGGCAAGUGAGCUUCGUUACAAUGAGUUGAUCACACAAGUUCCUGACUCAACUAGGCCACUUCUGAGGCAGAUAGAAGCAAUGCAGGUUACAUAUUUUGAAAUAUUUUGCUUGUUUCUUGUCUUGGAGGCACCUUUUUUGCUUGCAUGAUCAGCAUGGUGCAGAGAUUGUUUCAUCAACAUUGAAAUAAAUGAUUCUCUAGUUCUUCAAAUUUACAUUUAAAGUUCACUUAUUAGUGUUUUGGAAUUUUCAAUUUUAAUAGGAGACAACUUCCAGAAGAGCAGAAGCCUGGGCUGGUGUAGAGAGAGCCCUAAACUCUCGCUUGCAGGUUGUUAUCUCUCAGAGAAAUUGUUCAUUGCUCAGUUCCUUCUUUCCUGCCUUUUCCUUUCAUUGCUGCCACAUUAAGGAAAAUGUGCAAAAAUCUAUUUUUGAAGCAGUAGUAACUAGGAAGCAAUGUAUGGCGAGAAUGCCCCAAUAUGGGUACACAACGAUAUGAGAGAAUGACCGUUGAAAUUUAUGUUGAAAUAUUUAGAAACCUUGGAAAACUGGUUUUUGGUGGUUUUCCACAAGUUUUUCUGCUUUCCUCCAUAGUUUGGGACCACCUUUUGACUGAUUUUUUCAUAAUUAUUUUCUGCAAGGAAUUUUCCUGUUGGAUUUGAACCUGAUCAAAUUAGCUUCCAACCUGGUGUCCCAGGAAGAACCUAGUUGCAUGGGAAACACAUGUCCAGCAACUAUGGUUUCUAAUCAGUAGUCACUUGAAUUGACAGGAGGCGGAAGCCAAAGCUGCGGCUGCAGAGGAAAGGGAGCGAGCACUGAAUGAACGUCUAUCUCAAAGUCUAUCUCGAAUUGCAGUUUUAGAAACUCAGGUUCUUUUUUCCCCUGUCCACUUUCUUCGAUUGUGAAAGUGCUGGAGCUAAGCAUUGAUCAACCAAUGAUGGGACUUUUCAGAUCACUUGUCUUAGAAUGGAACAAACACAGCUUAGCCGAUCACUUGAAAAGGAGAGACAGAGGGCAUCUGAAAGCAGACAAGAAUAUCUUGCUGCAAUGGAGGAAGCUGCAACUCAAGAGGGUCGGGCCAAACAGAUUGAAGAUGAAAUUAAGGUGCUUAGAAGUAAACACAAAACAGAGUUGAAAGAAGAAGUGAGACACAGAGAACUUCUGGAGACGGUAACAUUUGGCUGUCGCUUGUCAAUUAUAUGCAUCGUUUUUCCAUCAAAUAUAAAAUCGUUUAACAUGGCACUUCUCUUUUUGUAUUAAAAGCACACUGGCUUCAAUAAUUUGUAUUUGCUUAUUUGACCAAUAUUGGCCAAAACUCUUUUGUUAUUGGACUCACUUAGUUAAGAUGUAUGCAUGCUGAUGGUUCUUUUCUUAUUGACCAAACUUUCUAUCUGCUAUCAGAUGAUGCAUUUUGUUGGAAAAUAAGAAGAUUGAAUUUUAUAAUUGGCAAUUUAUUCAGCUAAUUAUAUGUAGUAUUCAGCUUGAAAUUUAUUCAGUUGUUAUAUUGCUAACUUUCACCUUCUUGGAAUCCCUUCUCCUGAUUUCUGGCUAUAAUUCCUUAUUUCUCUAAUUUUGCCAACCAUUACAUACAUCAUAGCCUGAUACUGAAGCUUUCUCUAGCUUUUUCAUUGCACAUGAUCAUACCACAAAAAUCAGUUCAGUUUCAUUCUUUAUUAGUGUUGUUCCGUAGUUCUUUUAAAAAUGUGUAUAUUAAACUUUUCCAUACCACAUUAUCAUAACUUCAACAAAGUUUUCAUCUCCCAGCGAUCAUGUGCAUGCAUCCACAUUAUUUUGAAGUGUCCUUAAACUUCAAAAUAUACCUUGAUCCACAAAAAUUGAAGGUGUUUGUGGUUGACUAGAUGGUUGUGAGGUGGCGCCAAUCAUUGCACGUGUGAGUUUAAUUUAAUGUUUAUAAAUGACAGCCGUUUCUUUUAUUUGAACUUGUGCUAUUUUGUAGGAGCUUAAAAGGGAGAGAACCGCCAGAUCAGAACUGGAAAAAAUUGCUGCUCGUGAAAUUCCUGUUAUUGCCAAUCGUGAAAUUCCUAUUAACCCUUUCGUUGAAAAUGGUUAAUAGAUUCUACACCUUGUCCAAACUAUAAUAGAAUUUUUUUUUUUUAACUCCUCUAACCCAUUUGGGUUUUGUUCAUUUCCUUCUUUUAUUUGCAGGAAAUGCCCUCAACUGUAAGCUUUCAAGUGCUAGGAGUCUGAGUAGAUUGGAAGAAAGUCUUUUCUUGCAAGCAUCUCUGGACUCAUCUGACAACUUUUUUUCUGAAAAGAGAACAUCUGGGGAAACAAGCAUGUCCCCUUAUUUCCUAAAGAGCAUGACUCCAAGUGCUUUCGAAGCAGCACUUCGUCAGAAGGAUGGUGAACUUUCAUCAUAUAUGUCACGCUUGGUAUGGAAAACGUUUCCUUUGUGUUUGUUACUGCCUUGGCUUUGUUUGAUCCUAUUUUUUUUAAUUCUCUGCAAGCUCAGUGAAUUCUGUGCUUUGUGCAUAUUUUAAUCUUUCCCCAUGGUGAAACUAUUUCCAAAUUCUGAACCUCUGGCUGCAUUGAUCUCACCAUUUCUAAUUUUGCUUGAAUAGGUCUCAUUGGAAUCUAUUCGUGAUUCUCUCUCUGAGGAACUGGUAAAGAUGACAGAGCAGGUAAAAUUCAUACAGUGAAUGUCCUGGUUUUCAUGGAUAUUUUCUGUCUUGUAUGAUGCACAACAAUAAUGCUGGAAUUUGGCUUCUGUCUAGUGUGAAAAGCUGCAAGCAGAAGCAAUUGUUUUGCCUGGCUUACAAGCAGAGCUGGAAGCCUUAAGGCGAAGACACUCUUCUGCACUGGAACUAAUGGGUGAACGUGAUGAAGAGGUUUGCAUCUCUCUUGCACUAUUUAUAUAUGUGUUCACUUACAAAAUUGUGCAACUACACCUGUAUAAAUCAACUUUAUCACCUAGAUUUUUUGUUAAAUGUUAUGUCAUUCAGUUCCUUAUUACAAGCCUCUUCUUCGCCAGGCAUAGAUGCUACUUUUAUGUGGGUGUGGUACACAAUUAAAAAUUAUGAUAUAUUGUUAUUGUUUUUUUUCUAGAUCAGGUCUCAGCCGCCUAACUUAAUAGAUGUUUCAUGUUCCUGGAAAGGAUUUAAGUAGUUCUGAAAUACAUGCUGAUUUGAUAUCUACUAUUUAUUGGUGAAUGAGAAUUACCAGAUGUACAAUAUGGAGAAUAGAGAAUUUGCAUUUAUAUGGAUGAUUUGCCAGAAGCUAUCUCCAGUUGAUUGAAUUCUUCACUUGUCUGUAAAAUUUAAUGAAAUUUUCUUCAGUCAUAAUGAUAGUUGUGAAAAGUUUAUGUUACAUACAUGAAUCAUCUGGAAAAUGUCGAAGUUUCUAGGGAGUACGGUUUUUGGAGUUUGCAUCUGGAGUUUUGAGUCCCUCUGAUGGACGAGUCUAAGAAUUUGGUAUGGUUAAUGUGGAAUAAUAUAUGACUGCUUACAUGCAAUGUGAUACAUAUCUUCUGUCUGUUCAUAAUACCUAUGCUUUAUCAAGUUUAUUCAACACUUCAAGGGACAAAUUGUACUGGAAUUCUGAAUGCUUCUAUUCAGUGCCAUAAUAUAUUCAAUUUAGCAUGUCUUUUGUGGUUGAUGGGACUCUUCCAUUUGCUUUAUGAAACAUGCAUAAUGAGUCCUAAGUUCUUAAGAAAUUGACAUCCUAUUGUAGUUGGAGGAACUCCGAGCUGACAUUGUUGACAUGAAAGAGAUGUACAAAGAGCAAGUUGAUUUGCUUGUGAACAGGGUAUAUCUGCUUCACCAGUGAUGUUAGUUAUUGUGUUAUACUAUUCUGAUCUUAACUUUAUCUGAGGUGCAUUCUGAUCUUAAUUUUCAUCCAUCUCUUUUCUCAAGCAGAUUCAGAUGUUAAGUUCUUCAGCUGGUGCAGAUUAAUCAACCAUUGGCUGCUUUUGCUGAUUAAAAUUUAGCAGCGCCAUGGUAUGAACCAACUAGAUUAAUCUGUUUUGUUAUUUGGUUGAGCGUAUUCUUUAUAUUUGCUGGUUCGAAUUUGUAGCCACAUUCACACUAACAGCUCUUGGAAAAGUUCUUUCUUCAGCCUUGAGAAUUAUAUUCCUAGGUAGGACGCAAUGCCAUAUGCUGAAAUGGACAUGAGAUUCACUUCUUCCUUCUUGUCAUAUGACUGAUGAUUGUAUACCUAACCUAUUUGUAAAUGUCUCCAGAUCUUCACUACAUGGGUUUUUACCAUUGCAUAUGAUGCAUAAACAAAAAUGCAGAUCUGCUUCAUAAAUUUAAAGUUUGUUACUUUAUGCUUGUGGCUAGUUUACAUGAUCAGGUUGGUGCUUGGUUUGUACUGCACAUGAGAUAGAUAUACUCGUUAUUUGAACUGUAUGUGUGUUGGUAGAAUAAACAAACUUUAUGCCCUAAGUAUUUUUGGUAAUAUAGAUCACCAUACUUCAUUUAUAAAAAAAUAGAGAUCACCGUAUAUGAUGCAAGAAAGGUGGACUGUGGAAGUUAUUUUUUCUCUUCAGAAGAUAAUGAAGAAAUACAAAGAAAAGAAACAAAAUUUUCGAAUGAUGUUUAUUAAUUUAGAGAAAGUAUAUCACCGAGUGGAUGCUAGAAAAAAAGAAGUUUUCAUUAGUUAUAUUAAUAUGAUUAAAUAUAUGUAUAAAUGAGAAGUUGUUAGUGUGAGAUCUAUGGGUGGUGAUAGUAGUGAGUUUUUAAUUGUUUAUAUCAAGAAUUUACUCUUAAAUCUUUUUUUUGGGGGGCUAGUUAUGGAUAGGCUUACUAGAUAUAUCUAAAAUGAUAUUUUUUGAUGCAUGCUAUUUAUCAAUGAUGUAGUUUUAUUGGAUGAAACUAAGAUUGGAGUUACUAGAAAGUUGAAAUCAUAGAGAAGUGCAUUAUAAUGACCCAAGUUUCAAGUUAAAUAAGAUCAAGAUAGAAUAUAUGGAAUGUAGUUUUAGUAAAAUUAGAAAUAAAGAUCAAGGUGGAGUAAAAAUUAAGAAUCAUGAAGCUUUUAAAAGUAAUUAUUAAGUUUUUAAGAGUGAUCACUUAGGUUUUUACAAUCAGUUAUUCAUAAAGAAUAGGAGAUUGAAGAGGAUGUUAUUCAUGGGAUUAAAGUGAGAUUGUUAAAUAGAGAGGUACAACUAGAAUGUUAUGUAACUAUAGGAUACCUGCCAAGUUUUUUUAAAAAAAUGAUAUUAUAGUUAUAUAACAAACUAUACUUUAUGGUAUAAAAUAUUGAAUAAUUAAAAAAUUAUGUGCAUAAAAGGAGUAUGACCAAAAUGGCAGUGUUGAGAUGGAUGUAUACUAAUAGAAGACAGCAUAAGAAAUGAAGUAAUUCGUCAAACGGUAAAGAUAGUACCAAUUAAGGCUAAGCUGAUAGGAGGAUGAUUUAAAUGAUUUAGACAAAUACAUGUAUAAGAAAAGAGAGAAAAAACGGAUGUCGCCAAAAAUUAGAUGGGAUGAAAUAAUAAGGAUCUAAUCACAUAUAACUAACUGAUUUGAGCGGCUUGGUAUGCUGCGAUCUGGCACCAUUAUUUUCCUCGUGUGAAAUAAUAAGGUUCAUGCAUGACGGUCGUGUUUGAUGUCAGAUGGCAUUAGCUUUAUAGGUUCCAGUGGGCCUUUUUGAUUCGAAUCCUUUCCAGUUCUUAUUAGUUCGCUGGACCUACGUCCGUUCACAAGGGUUUGGGUGGCUGGACAAAAUGGCGUGCGAGUGAACCGGAUUUUAAAAAUCCAGAUAAUCCUAGGACGUAAACGGCGGAUAAAUGAACAAAAACGUGGUAUGGCUAGGAACGGAAUUGUACGCACCGAUAUAUCACCAGCCCAUGAAUCGAUUUAACUAUAUAUUUAAUAGGUGAAAUUAAUUAAUUAAUUUCUGUUGCCAAAGAACAAUGCGACAGCAAAGAACUAGCCCAUCUACCAUGUUUUUUUUUUUUACCCGAGAGCCAGUCAGAUAUGGAGAUGUGCUUCACCUCAGCUUGACUAGAGGCAGAUGUGGGCGUCCAUUGAGAAGUUUCUACGACAUUUAGAGGUCUCGGUUCGGAGGUCUGUACGGGAGGAGAGGGAGACUCGUGAUACCUACCUGGCCUAUCAUUAUUGGCUGAAGAGGAAUACAUGGGUUUUCGACGGUGAUAGCCCCCAUCCGAGGGUGGUGGCGGACCGAGCUCUACGGCAUGCGGAGGUCACCGGCACUAUUGAGGCUUCACCUACUGGGUUGGACAGAGACAUUUGUGGCCCUCAUUCUACUCUUGCAGCGUCUAGGACGAUAAUGGUAUUCUGGGUGCCCCCAUCUCCUGACUUUCUCAAGGUGAACUUCGAUGGCAGUGUAGCAACAGACGGGAGCUACGGAGGUGUGAGAUUUAUCAUCAGGGAUCAUGACGCCAGACUUAUAGCGGCAAGUGGGCAGAGGAUUUUUGACUUGUCAGUGGUGACCACUAAGCUUUGGGCGAUCUGGGAGGGUGUCUCCUAUGCGAGGCGGGUACUAUGUGCGGGUCGCAUCCUUAUCGAGGGGGACUCGAUCACCUCCGACCAAGGUGAUCGAGUGGAUCCGAAAAGAGGGAUGCUCAGUUGAGGACCGGCCGCUGCUCCACGAUAUUCGCAUGGGAUUGGAGGAGGCUGACUCCUACUAAGCCACGCAUGUAUAUUGGGAGGCGAACGAUGCUGCAAAUUAGGUUGCUUUCUUCGCGGUUCAUCACUUGGGAGGCUUUUUCUGGAUAGACUACGGGACUGUGCCUAUGCCUUUGCGCAUCAUUUUUAUUUUUUAAUUUUAUUGGCCGUUUUCACACUCGUCAUGUGUGAGCUGCUGGUGUAUACAAAAAAACAAAAAAAAAAAGCUCUGUUAUUUAUAAAAAAAAAAACAACUCCGUUGUUUGAUUCUUCUAAUGUUUCCCCACCGCUGCCCAUUCAUGUCCUGCACCCGCAGGCCCCAUGCAUGUCUCGUGCCAAUCAUUAUCCCGACGACACGCGUCCAGCGUACGAAGAAAACCCCUCAACUCCGUCGAAAUUAAGGACUUUUCCACCUCGAAUAAAGGAAACGCGGUCUCGCAACCAUCGAGGGUCGCUCCGGCUGCUAUAGUCUAACCCUUCCUCCGGCUCCUCUCGCCCCCACCGCAACCCACGUUUAGACCCCCGCGCCGCCCCCCCCCCCCCCCCUCCCGAAUCGCGAGGGUGAAAGGCCACGAAAGAUCAGGCCUCCUCCGACUCCGAUUCCAAUUUCCAGAAAGAAAAGAGGAUCGAAGGAAAAAAAAGGGUACAGUGAGAGAGAGAGUAGCUCUCGCCCGGGUUCUCGGCAAGAGAAUAGAAGUUUUCUUUUAGUCAUCAGUUGCCAGCUCAAAAGGGUAUCUCCAUGGAUCGCACGACGAGCCCCCGCCGUCCUAGGUAUCUCUCUCAUUACAUCUUUUCUUUUCCUUAUAUUUUUUUAUUUUUUUCUCUUAUUUUAGUUCUUCUUUUUAUUGUAUUCUAUUCGAGAACCCGGAGAUCGAGCCACAGUGGUCGAUUGGUUGGUUUACUAUAACUAUUAUUGUCAUCAUCUAGCCAACUCUUAUUUAGAUGUCUUUACCACUGAUUGGAGUGUGGACUUGUUUUAGAUUUCUGAUAGACGGAGUAGGCGAUCCGAGAUGCGGAUAAAUCCCAAUUCAACAAUCCACAAGCGCACGUCCUCCAGAGAUUUCACGAGCGCCGUCGAUCGCAGCGAUUUCAGCUCAGGUUCGCAUGCAUUCACCCCACGAUCACUUGGAUGGAUUCAUAUGGUUAAGAUCAAUUUUCCAAAGUUAAUAUUUUUCUAUGAGUUUUUGUAAUCAGGCCGUCUAUUGAAUGCCAUGGGGGAAACUACAACUAAUCCUUCGUGGAAGCUCUCCUUUCCUCACAUUUGCGUCGCAAUCAUUUCGUCCUUCUUGUUUGGUUACCACCUCGGGUACGUGUUGAUUGCUGAGAUUUCCUUUGUUCUUCUUUGCAAGCUCUGGUUUUGAGUGCAGAAAAGUAAAUAAAGUUGCGAUCUUGGUUGGAUUCUGUGCUACAGAGUCGUGAAUGAGCCGCUCGAGAGCAUUUCUGCAGAUCUUGGUUUUGCAGGGAAUGCCUUGGAGGAAGGUACUGGCAAUUUGUAGAGAUCUUCAGAUCUCUGUAAUAUAUGAUUGGCUGGUUGUUUUGAAUUUCUGAUAAUGUAGAUUGAGUGGUGGAGUUGAAUGCAGGACUUGUUGUUAGCAUGAGUCUGGGUGGUGCCUUCAUUGGGUGCUUGUUUAGUGGUUGGAUUGCUGAUAGUUUUGGGCGCCGUAGGGCUUUCCAGCUCACUGCAUUGCCUAUGAUAAUUGGAACUUCUAUCAGGUAAUCUGAUUGCACUUUAAAGGUUCCUUGCGCAUAAUUCUUAUCCCCUUCUUAUUCAAUGUAUAUCUGUGUUGAAAAUUUUAUGCUUUGGGAUCGGUAACAAACUCAUUGUCUAAUUGGUUUGGUGGAGCAGCAGUCCUGUGAGGUCCUAUGCCUGGGUAAAGAAGCCCUUCUUUUAAUAUAAAUCUUAGACCAUUUAUGUAUCAUUUCAAUAUCCUGACUUCCUUUUGAUUUAGUAGGCACCCAUCUCUUUUUCCAUAUACUGUAGAGUUCUCCAUGGUUGCUCAAGGAAACAAUUUAUCAGUAGUAUACUAUUUAAUCUUGCAUUUACUAUAAUACAAGCUGUGUUGCUGUCAGAGAAAAAAGGAAAGAAAACAACUGUUUUGUACUUUUGGAAUUGUAAUCAAAAUAUUUUUUGUGGAACCAUCUAACUGUGUCUUUAUUGAUAUAUGCAUUUGCAGUGCAUCAGCGGCCAGUCUGCAGGGUAUGCUUUUUGGUAGAUUUUUAGUUGGAAUAGGGAUGGGUAUAGGUCCGCCUGUUGCUUCUCUUUAUGUGACAGAGGUAUAGAAGAUCAUUGAACUCCAAUUUUAUGAAUGGCGAGCAGUAUCGUCUGGUUCAAAUAGUUUCCUAAUCUCUAUUAUUUAUUUCUUUUCACUGUCAAAAUGGUCAGGUUUCUCCUUCUUUUGUUCGGGGCACUUAUGGAAGUUUUAUUCAGAUUGCAACAUGUCUUGGACUCAUAGGUGCUCUUUUUAUUGGAAUCCCAGUUAAGGAAGUUGAAGGAUGGUAAGGAACAUGCCUUAACUUAGAUUACUGUUAUAUACCUAUAUUUGAAUAUCAACUCUUUGAUCACAACUUUCCUAACUCGUAUCCCAUUCUGCGUAUUCUAAUAGGUGGCGAGUCUGCUUUUGGGUAUCCGUCAUUCCUGGUGCUCUACUUGCACUUUGCAUGGAAUGUUGCGCCGAAAGUCCUCAUUGGCUCUAUAAGGUCCUUCAGCUUUAUCUUAACUCUAAUUUCUUAAGAUAGGCUUUUAUCUUGUGGAACAUCUAGUCAUAUUUGUGAUCAUAACUGUUUAGCCUUUAGGGCAUGCACCAUAAAUCUUCAUAGGAAUGCCCUUGGUCUGCAGGGGAUAUCAUAGUUACAGCUUUGCAGGCUUAGAGCUCUAUAUGUACAACUUGCCUGCCAUGCUGUAUACUCAAAUCCCUUGCAUUUUUUUGCUGUCACUAUAAUAUAAUUUCUAUAGCACGUUAGUGCAUUUAUAGAUUAAUAGUUAGUUCUUCUGGGUUAUUAUGAAGAACUAUAAUUAUUCAGAAGCUAUUAAUGUUGUCACUGAAUACAACAGCAUAUUUUUAGCUAUUGUUUGACAACCAUUGAGUAAGAGUUUCUCUCCUUUUAAUGCUGUAUAGCAUGGCAAAAUUGUCGAAGCUGAAGCUGAAUUUGAAAGACUGUUGGGAGGACCCCAUGUUAAACCAGCAAUGACAGAAUUAUUACGUUCAGACAGAGGGGAUGAUGUAGACAUAAGUUUUCUAGAAUUGCUUCAUGGUCGCCAUUUCAGAGGUAUUCAUUCAUUGCAUAGAUCCUUUCAUAUAUAAUCUUGUUUCAUGUUUAGUUAUUAUCGUAUUAGUUCAAGUAAUUUUGUUUUUCCUAAGAAGUUAUGUUUAUUUUAAGUGUUUUUUUCCAGUUGUUUUUAUCGGAUCAACGCUAUUUGCUUUACAACAGCUAUCCGGCAUAAAUGCUGUAUUCUAUUUCUCUUCGACCGUCUUUAAAAGUGCAGGGGUGCCCUCAGACAUUGCCAAUAUGUGUGUAGGAUUUGCAAAUUUAUCAGGUAGAUUUGACUUCCUUUAAGUUAUGCAAAUGAUUUCAACUCAAGGAAUGAAGGUUCUCCAUUACUUUUGUUUAUCCAGGGUCAAUAAUUGCGAUGGUUUUGAUGGAUAAACUAGGAAGAAAGAUGCUACUUUUUGGGAGCUUUAUGGGCAUGGUAAACUAUUUAUUGAAGAGAUGCUGUUAAUAGACUAGUCAUUGAUCUAUAGUAAGAUCUCUUAUGCCGAUUGAUGAUGUAUAUUUUUGAAUUAGGCUGCGUCAAUGGGAGUUCAGGCCACCGCAGCUAGUAUUUACAUUCCUAUCUCUGGGGCUUUAUACUUAUCAGUCGGUGGAAUGUUGUCGUAAGCACUAAACACUCAUCUUAUCUGGGUUUAGUUGCUGCUUAUAUGUUAGAAAAUGAAAUUCAAUUACAUAUAAAUUUUGAUGGUACUCCGAACAGUGGCUUUGGCUCUAUAAUUACAUGUAAUACAUUAUGCACACGGGCAGAUAUGACAAGGACUGUAUGAUUGAAAUGCUCUUGCAUAGAUAAAUUAAACCCAUCCAAGACAUCCUUGAUCUAAUCCUGGUAUUUGCUGCAAUGCUUCUGAAAUCCUAGUAUUUCAGAUUGUUUGUCAUUAUCGUGUCUAUUCCAGUAUAUCGGGUAUUAAUAUUUGUUGGAUUUGGCUAUGAGAUAUGUUAAAUACUAGGGGUGGUAAUUUAUGACUCCACCAGCCAACCCAACCCACAAUUGACCUGAGAUAAGCAGAUUCAGAUUCGGUAGUUCUGGAUCAUAAACAGUUUGACCCAACUAAACUCAUUCAAAUGUUUCAUGUUCAUGCUUAAAAUCUUGACGCAUUUACCCAUUUUCACCUGUUGAAUAAUUGGGCAGGGUCGACAAAGGUUACACCCAAUAUGUUUAACCUAUUUAACACAUUUAAGCCAUGUAAGGCCUGUCUAACUUGUUUCAAACCCAUUUAACCAGUUUAACCUAAUCCGGCUUGUUUAUUAAUUGGGUUAUGCGAGUCAGGUAGUUACCUGUUUAAGAAAGAGUUUAGGUUCAUUUUUGGAUCUGACCCAUUUAAUAGACGGGUUGGGUUCAAGUUGAUAGGUAUCUGACUAGACUCGUAUUCGAGUCGACUUGACCUGUUGCCUCCCCUAUUUAAUGUUUUCUUCUUGGCUACCUCCAAGGAUGAAGGGAGGAUUUUUCGCCAUUUUUAAUGAUUAAUGACUUUGAUAAUGAACCCGACGGAUGUCUGAUUUUAGAGUUUGUAAUGUUCAUGUUAUUUUAUAGCAUAUAGAUUAUAUAUGAUGGCUCGUUAUGCUCUAUGUAUUUUAGAUUUGUGUGUAUUACCAUAAUAUAACCAUAAUCAUGUCCUAUUUUUCAAGAUUGUUCAUAUUUGCAUAUCUGUAUUGUGCAUCUCCAUAUGUUGCAUUUGCAUCUGUGCUUCAUAGAAAUAAAGUAUGGUUCAGUGGUUUAAUAUAAAAGAAAAAUGAUUGAGAUUCCUCUCUCCGCAUCCCCGCCCCCUCACCCGCUCAGGGCCUUUCCUUCCCUCUCCUCCCUAGCCAUCCCUUCUCUAAUGCUAUGAGAUUCCACCCCUCUCUAUCUCGCAGUUGCUUGGAUGCAAACCCUCUCUCCCCAUUUUUACUUGGGUUCACCUACUCUCCCAGGAGCACAAUCAGUGAGAUAAGAUGGCUAUAGAUCACGGCCCUCCGCGACCCUAGUACCUUUGGUGGAGACACUCUAGCCUCUCAUAAUUUCCGCAACAUCCUUUUCUUGCAGCAGUGUUUCCUGAAUCUGCAACUCUGAAUCUCCUAGGGAUUUCAACGAUUGUACCUCUGUCAUCCAUUGCCUUUAUAAUAUAUUUUGUAAAUUUUCCUAGUGCAAAUUCAUAGAGUUGUGUAUCUGAUCCAGAUUGAGCAUCCAGGGUUUGGUUCUUUCAUUGCUAUGCCUGAUUCAUUCUAGCAUUCUUCUGCAAGAAAGUUUAUUUAUCUAUCAUUUGGGUGUUUGAAAUGAAAAUUUACAUCCUAGGUAAUUCUUAGUUUUGAAUCUAUUUUUAGUCCUCACUUUAGUCCACGUUAUAUUCAUGGUGAUGUCUAAUCCUGUAAGUGGUGCUUCACUUUCUAACAUUCUGAAAACUAAUGCCAUAGCAGAUUAUCUUGUAGAUUUUUUUUUAAUUUAUAAAAAUGGCUAGAUUAACCACAAGGUGCAUUAAUGGGCCUUGUUUACUGCUUCACCUCGUUGGGCCAAGCCGCUGGUAAAAGAAUGACUCACAGACCUACACCCAAGACCUUAAAAAGCAUACAGCAAAACCACCUAGACACUGAGCCCAACCCAGUAGAAGUUGUGGAAUAUCUUGUAGAUGAAUAUUUGUGUCAAAAAUCAUGAUAAACAGUUUUUGUUUAUUGAUAUGUGGAGGUUUGUGAAUUUAAAAGUUUGAAGGUAUUUGUCUCAGUCUUUGAUCAUUUCCUUAAUUAUAGUGAGCUUCAUCAAUUUGUCUAUUACCACAUCCAUUUGUAUAUCUGUCUCUCUUCUUCAAACACUUUUGCCCCCUUUCUUUAGGUAUGUACGUCAUUUGUUAGCCUCAUCAUCUUAUAUUAAGAACCAGUUCUAUAUGAUGUUGUUGCUGCUCUCGUUACACAUCAUCACAUUAAGUGGUUCUUUUGAUUUUCAUCUUAUGCAUUCACUGCUACAUUUUCUGUUCCUUGUAUGAACCACCUUAUUAGAAUGUCCAUUUCUGCAUGUUCAUCUCGUUUACACGCAUGUUAUGGGCAUGAACUACCUUAUUGCCCACUGUUGCAGCUCAUGGAGCAUGCUGCAUAUGUGGUCUCUUUAUUUCUUUCUUUAUUCCAUAUCUCAACCAACGGGUCACAUUUAUUUGUGUUGUGUCCUAAAUAGAUCGAAGCAUAAUCAAUAGACUGCAGUUAGUGAACGUUAUACAAUUGACACUACCAAAAUCAACCCUUUGAAUUGGUGUUCAGUUGUUUGCCAAGGUAACUGUAAGCAGAAGGGAGCAUGAUAGGACCCAAAAAAGACCAAUCUGCACAUAUGAAACGUACUCGAUUUCAUAUGACAGGUGUUAUCAUUCUUCUCCUAUAGAAAGUUGUAUUCCAUAGACAAUGACUUCUAGAAGUAAUCCCUCUCAAUCAUUGGUGGUGGUUGAAGCAACACACUUAUAUGGGUUUGAGCUCAAAUUGCAGUCCAUAUCAAGGGUUGAGUUAUUUGUGCACUGGUGCUUUGCUGGCCAGCCACAGUAUUUACUGUCANNNNNNNNNNNNNNNNNNNNACUAUUCUAUCCCUUUUUAUAUAAAAAAAAAUUUGGGGUUAUUACAUUUACCAUGCCAUGCUGGUGAUUGCUACACACCGGGAUUGUGGCAUGACAAUAUCCAGAACACAACUGAUACCAUGCCAGUAAGCCAUUGUUGCGGUAGAUGCUUUCCUAUAUCAACCAUUCUGACUGGCAGUUUAGUCCAUAAUUUGUGUAGUCUUUCUUUAUUGGGUUCAGCCGUCAUUCAAAUUGUCAUCUUGACUCGUCCUCAACUUUAAUUUACAACUAAAUUCCUGAGACUGCGCUAAGAGCCUCUUGCUGAGCAAUAACUGGUUGUUAAUUUAUAUCAAGGAUAAAGCAGCGGGUGGUCAACUCUUCUACUGGUGCAUUCCUUUUUCAUCUAGCAAUCUGAGUUCUUUAACAGUUGGUCCUCUUUUGUGUCACUAAAAGCUCAUACAUAUCUUGACUUUGGUAAUUAGUGUUAAAAAAAAGUGGAGAGUGAGUCUUGAAGAGAUGGUGAUUGAGAAUAAGAGGUAGGACUAAUAUAAAGCGUUGCACUCAAUUUUCUAUGGCUAUGUGAAUACUUUUUUCAAGAUUUUACUAGUAGCAUAAUGACAAGUUUUAUUGCUUCCUAGGUCAGCUUAUUCCAUAUAUAGUUAAUGGGUGACUUGGUAUGAAUCUAAUUACUUCUUCUUGCAGAUUUGUCCUGUCAUUUGCAUUGGGAGCUGGCCCAGUCCCAGGUCUGCUUUUACCAGAAAUUUUCCCCAGCAGAAUCCGAGCAAAGGCUAUGGCUGUAUGUAUGUGUGUUCAUUGGGUAAGAACUGUGCAGCUUGCCUUAUAUUCCAUAUGAAGAAUAUAUUGUAAAAGAAAAACUAGAUGAAACUUCUGCAGUCCAAUUCUAAGGCAGCAUUUGGUUAUAAACUAUCAGAAUUUUACUCUCCAACAUUUGAUCUAUCUAACCUGAGGUGGAAGUUGGUCGCCAAAAAUGCUUUUCUCCCAGCCAUGCUGUUGAAAAACUUGGUCUAAGUUUUGCCUCACAAAACCGUUUUUGAGUAUGCCAAUAUCUUUUGCUCAUCAUGCCAAGGUACUGAAUGACAUACCAAGUCAAGAACCAGCAACUUCAGUACUAAUCUGGAGAGAAUAGUUACUCUUUGGUUUUAACUCAUGGUUGCAGAGGAUAGUUUUCUUAAUUAUAGCAGUUGUCUAGAAUUUCUUUUUAUCACAAAACUAAUGCAUGCUGUCUUGAUGUUGAUAUGUUCAGGUGUUGAAUUUUUUUGUUGGUUUGCUGUUUUUGCAACUGUUGGAGCAACUGGGGCCACAAGUCCUGUACUCUAUUUUUGCAACAGUUUGCCUCAUAGCAGCAGUUUUUGUGAGGAGGAAUGUGGUAGAAACUAAAGGCAAAUCACUCCAAGAAAUCGAAAUUGCACUCCUCCCACCUGAGCAGAGGUAAAUUCUCUUGCCAAUCCACCUCUAUCAACACCUUUCAGUAAAAUGGAACUAGAAAGAUCAGCUAAUCUUUUUCCUUCUACAUCUUUUACGUAUCAUUAAACUUCCAAGAUCUUUUAAUUUUCUCUUGGAAGUUGAAGUCUAUCUGAGAAUAUGGUCAGUACCUGGGACAACAUCCAAAAAUGCUAAUCGUGAAAAUGAAGUAUAUUGUCGCAUUUACUAAGAAUUUGUCUAUUCAACUAUUACCAGACGUGUGUUCCCUUUGACAUUUUUUUUUUAUGUAGGACAUACUAACUGAUCAUCAUAUAAAACUGUCAAAUUUUCAAAGUGGACAUCAUUUGGUUGUUGCAGAAUAAGUGAACCCAGAAUAAAUGGGUUAACUUAGUCCUAACACAUUUCACCCUGGAGUAAAGUAGUGCAUCCUAUAGGUGGAAUUGUUUACUCCGAGUUACGUGGAAAAAGUAGCUCUACCAACUCUUUAAAAUAUACAUUUUGCCCUCACAAUAGAAUUGUUAUUGUUCUAAUAUUUGGUGGGUUAAUGUGGAAUAAAUAGAAGGAACCUUCAUUCCAUUGUGCGCUCCUUUAACCUUGAAGAAAACACAGCCUCACUAUUCACAAACAGAAGCUGUCUUAUGAAUUUUGUGCUGCAUGUGCUUUAAGUUGGUUCCUCUAUCCACCCAAACAGAGAAAGCAGACCACUAACAAAAAAUAAAGAGGAGCAAAAUUUAGCUGGACCUCACUCUUGAAACACCAAACUCCACCCCCUGUUUCCUCUUUCCCUGUCUUUCCUUCCCUGACCCAUCUCUUUUAAAGCUUUGUACCGAUCACGAUGAUGUAAAUCGUCCCACCAGGCAUCCUUCGAUAGGAAAAAACCAUUACGCAGAUUGCAACAGAAGGCUUACGAAUAGAGGGCUUUGUAUCAUAAAUAAAAUCAUUUCUUUGCACUGGAUAGCUUUUUCAGGAGCCUGCCCAUUUUGGUCUCAGAGAGAAGCGGCUGGCUGGCUGCUCUAGAUCCAAGUACUAUUGGUUCAGUAGUUUCUACUCUUAUCUUAUAAAAUUUAAGAAAAUAUUGAUUCCACACCAUCUUGUAGCCUCAUAUGAUUUUUUUUCUUCUGCCAAUUCCCUCUAGAUAUUGAAGUCUUAUAUUAUGAUGGAUCCAUUUUUGGGUCUUACAAUUAAAUUUUCUGUUGCAGGUAAAGAUAUGCAUCAUACCAUAAGCAUGCUGACAUUUGGGCCGUCUAAUUGCACUAAUCAGUGGUAUUGAUGCCAUGAUAUAAGCAAGCAAAAACAUGAUGCUUGCCUUGGGAUCUGUAAAUAUAAUACUUGCUAUAAGUUUAGGGGCUGGAAAGGGUGUUUCUUUUUGUUGCAUGUGUUCUUCAGUGGAUUGAUUCCAAUUGCAGAUGCAUGAGAUUAUUCGGACUAUUUGAAUGGUUUCCAAUUUUUUCCUUUUUUUCAGUUUUUCUUUUGCCUGCGUGCAUGGUAGAAAAAGAAAAAUGGUUUCUUGCAGUUAUCCUAUGAUUUUAGUGUAUUUAUCCCUCCUGCAAGUUAACAUUUGAUUUGUACCUUUCAAAUCCUUAAACUAUAUAAAGGCUGCUUAGUUUUCUAGUUUUUCAAUUCAAAAUAGAACACUAAUCAUAAUUCGUUAAAACCUUAAAAUAUAUGAAUUACUCUAAUUAGAUUUUAAAAAAUGUUUAAAAUAUGGUGGACUUAAAGAAGAAUGGAUUUUAAUAUUGAUGGGCUUGGGAAUAAUAAUAGCUCUAAUUUGGUUCCUUCUUAUUAGGAAAAGUAGUAGUAUAUAGUAUGUAGGAAGGGGAUUGCUCGUACUAACAGAAAAUAUGAACAGAACCGAUAGGUGAAACAACGUGAACCAAAAGGCAAAGGUAAAAUACGAUGCAUUGGAAGAAAAGGUUAACCAUGAGGCAACUCUUUUCAGUUCUUUGUAGAAUUUAUAUUUUAAUUAAAGUAUUUCAAAUGCUAAAAUCUUUAGCAACAAUCCGCAUCUGCAUACCCAAAAAAUGUCUGCCUACUCCUUGGAUAUUAAGAUCAUUCAAUUUUGAUGAACUUGUUGAAGUACCAGCUUGAAUAUAUAAAUCUUGAACAUAAAAUAUAGAUGCGUAAUUGGCAGGUCAAGUCGGUGAGAUUGCAUCCAUGUAUCAAUACUCAGAUGCAAAGAACACAUCCCAAAUACUAAUAUUUCCUCUAAUAAAGCUGAAGUAUUCAAAGCCCAUGUAGAUCUGUCUCGUAAUUAUAGAAUUUUCUGUAUUCCUUAUUUUGGAAAAUCUGAUGCAGCUGUUGAAGAGCUAAGUCACCUCUUGGCCUAGUAACCUUCUAAUUUAGGAACUUCCAAGCCGUUCAACUGUCGAAACUCGCGAGAACUUAGACUCGACCACGAUAAUUGAGUGGAUCUGUAACCUACUAGGAAAGUGUGUAUCCCAUCAGACCAUGCGCAUCUACAUGAAUGCAAACGAGACCACUGACUGGAUUGGCCUCUUAUGCGACUCAACACUAGAGUGGCUUCAUUUGGAAGGCCCACCGGUGGCCGCAUUCACAUCCUCAAUAUAUGAGCCGCUGUUGUACCCAAAAAAAAAAACAUUCUUAGAACUUUUCAAACAAGCCCUUAACUAUUUCUUGCAUAGAAAAUCGGUAUUUGCUACCAACUUUAAAGGUAAUGAACUCAAAAAUGUAAAACUUAACAACUUAGGGGCGUACGAGUAAUUUAGUAUUAACUAAGAAAUCCAAAAAUAAUUUUCAUCAAAGUCGGCAAAAAUACCGACUGAAUCUAGGAAGCUUGUAAUCGGAUCAGCGCCUCGGUUCCGCUGCUGCCCUACCCUCAGCCUCUCCGAAACCCUUUCUCCGAUCCACCGACCGUCAUCGCCAUGGCCACCUCCGCCAUCCCCCACGAACCCCCUCCUGCCGGCGGCGCUACCGCCGGCGACGACCCCGAGGACGACGAUUAUGUCGAGUAUAUCCCCGUCAAGAAGCGCCGCGCCUUGGAGGCCCAGAAGAUCCUCCAGCGCAAGGGCCGCCUCUCCUCCGCCAGCGGCGGCGGUAGCGGUGACAAUCCGUCCGCCGACGACGACCCCGACCGGCCCUCCCUCGCCCCCGAGGCCAAGCCCAGUCUCCUCGUCAAGGCCUCCCAGCUGAAGCGCGAGCUCCCGGAGAUCAGCCCCAUGGAGCAGCGCGUCCAGCAGGAGAAGGAGAUGAUCGAGCACCUCUCCGACCGCAGGACCCUCAUGUCCGUCCGCGAGCUCGCCAAGGGCAUCACCUACACCGAACCCAUUCCCACCGGCUGGAAGCCCCCCACGGCCAUCCGCCGCAUGCCCGCUCGCCACGCAGACGCCAUUCGCAAGCAGUGGCACAUCCUCGUCGACGGCGAGGACAUCCCCCCGCCCAUCAAGAACUUCAGGGACAUGCGACUCCCCGAGCCCAUCCUGAAGAAGCUCAAGGAGAAGGGCAUCGUCCAGCCCACACCCAUCCAGGUCCAGGGCCUCCCCGUCAUCCUCUCCGGCCGCGACAUGAUCGGCAUCGCCUUCACCGGCUCUGGCAAGACCCUCGUCUUCGUCCUACCCCUUAUCAUGGUCGCCCUCCAGGAGGAGGUCAUGAUGCCGAUCGUUGCCGGGGAGGGGCCGUUUGGCCUCGUCGUUUGCCCUUCGAGGGAGCUCGCUAGGCAGACCUUUGAGGUUGUGGAGCAGUUCUUGGCUCCGCUUAGGGAGCACGGGUACCCGGAGCUGAGACCGCUGCUGUGCAUCGGAGGCGUUGACAUGAGAUCUCAGCUGGAAGUUGUGAAGAAAGGGGUGCACAUCGUUGUGGCCACGCCUGGGAGGCUCAAGGACUUGCUUGCCAAGAAAAAGAUGAACCUGGACAAUUGCAGGUAUGCUCACUGCAGCCUACUCUUCUUUUGAUAACAUUACUGUUACUGCAGUGAUCUUGUCGUGCAUUCUAUGAAUGUAUUGUUAAAUUUUGGUAAAUGAAGAAGAUUCUGGUUUGCAUAGCAUUUCAUGGACAAUUGCUACUUCUACACUUCAAAUCAGAGAAUCAAAAGUUAGUUGUCUGAAAACUUUUAAAAAUGUCAGACCAUUUUCCUUGCACACUGAAGUAGAGUUGAGCAAGAUACUGUCACAAAUAUCGUGAUAAGUUUGUUUCGCUAGGGUUUCUUAAUAUAAAAUUUCUGACUAAAAAGAUUCAAGAGGAAUCUAUAUAGGAAGGUCAACAAUGUUACUUUUCCGUCCAUAUUCUUUUGUUGCAUUAACUUCUGAAGUAAUGUAUCAAAGCAUGAUUAGAAAUAUUAGUCAUUGCAGGUGUCUAUUGUCAAGAAACUUAGCAAAAAAUAUGUUUUUUCAGCCAGUGUUGACCACGAGCCAUUAGUAAUCAGUGUAACUUGAAAUUCUAUUAGAAAUGCAUCAGUUAACCUGUUUUAGACUAUCUAUUUACUUUUUAUCCAUCUAUUCCCAAUAUGAAGUUCUUAACAUGGUUAGAGGAGUUUUUUCUCUCCAAAUGCCAAGGAAUUGGACUAUUGAUACCCUUCUUAUCAUUUGCAAGGAGAGGUAUAUGUUUUCCUUGCUAAAUUAUUACUUGUGGAUCAAUAAAGGAGUUUGAGGAGUGAUUCUAUAAUUCGAGAUCACCAUGAAGACUAAUGCUUAUGCUCUUGUGUUAUAUUUAAUUAAGACCUCACCUUCUCUAGGAAUCUUUUUUCACACCAAAUUAGUGGUAUCUAAAAUUUGCAUGGGUUUUAAUUUCUUGACCUUAAAUAUGUCCUUUUAAGCAAUGCUGUGGUCGUGGGUAUUAAAUUGCUAAAAAUUUCACAAGUGGUGUCAUGCAUGCUAUUUAGAUUUCUUUUUGGCUUUUUCCUCUUUUCAUUGGCUUCAGCUUCUUACUAUGAAUUGUUCUGUGAGACCAGCCAUCUACUGACAUAUGCUAGCAUCCAACUUUUGGUCCCAUUUCCCCUAUCAUUGGGGUCCUUGAUGGGAGUCCUAUCCAUCCUAGCCCCUUCCAGCCUCUUCCUUUUUCUCAUUAGUCCCUUGCUAGGAGUCUGUUUGUGAGACUAGCUGCCUAUUUACAUAAGUCAGCCCCCACCUUAGGUCCCAUUACAAAAUUUCUUCAAUUAGGAUCACCUUAAGCUCAGCCAUCUUGUUAAGAUGAAACAGAGGAAGUAGACAGAGUGUAGAGGAAAGGGCUGUAUAGGGGCAAUCCAUGCUCUAAUUGCUUAAAUUCCACCAUUGUCAUGAUCAUUGCUAUAUUUAUGUCUCAAAGGAUGUUGUUGCCAAUUUGUCUGCCAGUGAUAUGUCUUGUAGGUGGAUCCUUGUAUGAGAGAAAAAAGAAGGGAGACAUCUUAAGUGGGAAUUUACCCAAUUGGCCAUUUAGUUGGGAAUUUUUUGUGAGCUGGUGUUAAAGAUACCCAUCGGCAUUUGGUUUGGAAGGCAAUUACCAAAUUGUUAAAUGCUAAGUAAUAUACAGCCCAAUUAGACCCAUCUUUGAAGAAUAUAGGUGUUAGAACCUCAAACUGGAUCUGAUCAAGUGUCAUGCAUUAAUCAAAUCUUAUGUGAGGUAAAAAUAUAGGUUUUUGACAUAUCUUAGAUGCUCUCUCUCUCCCCUUCGCUCAAUCUCUCUCUUUUUGAGUAUAAGGCUGCAAACCAAAUGCAAGUGGUUUGGGCAAAUAAAAAUUUCACAUAGAAAAUUACAAGCUCUUUCCCUUAUAACGAAUGCUUUCUUGCAGAAACAUUGUUUUUGAAAAGAUGAACUGCUAAUUAUAGCUUUAAUUUGUAUGUCUAAUUGCAACAGUAGUGCAUGAAUUUGAAGGGAUUAAUUAAUGACCUCCAGGGGCAAUCAUUGCUUGCAGUUGUUUAUGGAAGUGAGUUGUUCCAAAAUUGCGAAGAUGGAUGCAUGUAUUAUUUCAAGCUGGCCAUAAAACAAGAGAAUUAACCUUCAGUGAGCGCUUUUGCAUACAUCUUCACAUUACCCGCUAACCCAAAGCGAACUCUAGUACUUCCACGUGUCAAAAUGUAGUUUGACAAAUAUUGAGAAUGACCGACUUCAAGCGGUGAUGCAGCAUUUAUUCCUCAAUUCUUGCAUCCACUUUUUAUGGGAGAACUAGAUUAAAAUCAGCUAGCAUAUGGAAACCAUUUUAUGAGUUUUAGUUUUUCUAGCUGGUCCUCAAUUACUAAAGCUGAGUUGGUAAUGUUAGAAAAUUGAGAUAUCCAAAUGAAACAGAGAAACCCUCAUUUAUCUUCCUAUUUUAAGGGAUAAUGGGUAUAUUAGCAAUUGGAAGAAAAUAUCAGGAAAUAUGAAAGGUAGAUAAAUGCAAUUCUUGUAACUUCUGGUUCUGCUAUUAUAAAUUAUUAGAUUAAUUUAAGAUAUGAUGAUGUAUUUAGGAUGUUGAUUAUGAUAUGGGUGAAUGUGUCUUUUUUUUGUGGCAACGGAUCGACAUGUGACAGUGGAGUUGAAAGUUUUUUUUGUACAAGCUCUUCACUUGGCAUAGUUUUUUUUUUCUUUUAAAUACUUUUGGGUACUUAUUGCAUCUACCAAAAUUGAGCAAGCAUAAGCCAUUAGCAUAAUAUUUGUUUAUUGGAAAACUUGUUGUUAACUAGUGUGCAUCUUCUCAUAAUGUAUGUGCCUUUGCAUGUUCAAAAUUUUCCUAGGCAUUGAUUUGUCCUAUAUUCAUUUGCAAGUACAAUGUUGCUUUUGUGUGUGUGCGCGCGCGUGUCCCCUAGCACAUGUCCAUUAUGUUGCCUAUAUCUGCCCCUUCAUUUUGUCUAUACCUUAAUAAUUUUCUCUUUUUUCUUUUCUUCCAUUCUGAUGACCUACAUUAAGUAUAAUUUACAAUGUAUGUAUCUAAGCUAAUGUACAUGCGGUCAUGCACCAUUGCGGUUUUAUAUUUUUCUGAAUCUUUUGUACUGUACAUGCAGUGUAAUUUACAAAGUAUGUGCCUAAACUAAUGUAUAUGCACCAUGAUAGCACUGUGAUAUUCACAUCAACUUGGUCCUUUCGGACUGUAGAUGCUUGGUUUAUAAUCCUAAACCAAUAUGUCACUCUAAAACUUGCCCAUCAAGUUCAGGAUCUGUUAUCACUGUGAAACUUCUGAUCAAUUUCUCUUGGACAAUGUAUAUGAUUCAUUUAUCUAUCCCUUCUUUUGUUUUCAUCAUCAUCCUUGGAAGCCAUUGUUGGUACCAACAAAUAAAAUGCUUCAGUGCUGAGAGUUUAUAUAUUGCUAUUUUAUCCAAUGAAGUUUGUAAUUCAUAUCAGAUUAACACAUAUAUAAGUACCAUUUUAGAAUCGUCACUUGGUGUGUCAAAAAGCAUGAUUUGCAGACAAAUUUUCAUUUUAUAUGUUUCAUGUGGUGAAUAUGACAGUAUAUUUAAGAAUUAGAAGUGUAUUCUCCUUUUUUCUUUUUCUUUUUUCCGUAUUCUUGAAUAUUUUGGAGCCUGAAGAUGCAGACUCAUGGUAACCUGAAGAUGGGUAUGGUAGGAUUUGCAAGAAGUUGAGCUGGUGUGUCAUCGUUUCCUGAAACUCUGUUGUAUUUCUACCAUCUCCAUGUCAUAAGUUGAUGAGUCACAUAUUUUGUGUCUGGAUCACUGGAGCUUGUUGUUAACCUGUGAGAGACAGUAUAAUUAUGAAAAAUCUUCUGAUGCUUGGAACUUGUUAGUGCUCAAUUUAAGCAGUUUGGGUUUCUUCUGAGAACUACUUUUCAUGUAUUCAUUUUUUCUACUUAUGAAAGUACCUGGAAAAAUAAAACAUUGGCUUGAGGCUGAGUGUUUAUUGUCUAAGACCAUCUUUCUUUGCUCAAAAUGGAUUGUCCAGUAGGAUUGCUGACAUUGACCUAUCUCAUCCUUCUCUUAUUGAUCCCUAUUGCAGGUAUUUGACAUUGGAUGAAGCUGAUAGGCUGGUUGACUUGGGCUUUGAAGAUGACAUCAGGGAGGUUUUUGACCAUUUCAAGGCCCAGAGACAAACCUUACUCUUCUCUGCCACCAUGCCAAAAAAGAUACAGACCUUCGCAAAAAGUGCCCUGGUGAAACCUGUGACUGUCAAUGUGGGAAGAGCUGGGGCUGCAAAUUUAGAUGUCAUACAGGAAGUCGAGUAUGUGAAACAAGAAGCUAAAAUUGUAUACCUCCUGGAGUGCCUCCAGAAGACCCCACCUCCUGUCCUGAUUUUCUGUGAGAACAAGGCUGAUGUUGAUGACAUCCAUGAGUAUCUACUUUUGAAGGGAGUAGAGGCUGUUGCCAUUCAUGGGGGCAAGGAUCAGGAAGAAAGAGAAUAUGCCAUCGCAUCCUUCAAAUCAGGAAAGAAGGAUGUCCUGGUUGCCACCGAUGUCGCUUCCAAGGGCCUCGAUUUUCCUGAUAUCCAGCAUGUGAUCAACUACGAUAUGCCUGCUGAAAUUGAGAACUAUGUGCAUCGGAUUGGCCGAACUGGGAGGUGCGGAAAAACUGGCAUAGCAACAACAUUCAUAAACAAGAACCAAACUGAGACAACACUCCUUGAUCUGAAGCACCUUCUUCAAGAAGCGAAGCAAAGAAUCCCACCGGUGCUGGCGGAGCUCAAUGACCCAAUGGAAGAUGAGGAUGGCAUCACCAAUGCAAGCGGGGUGAAGGGUUGUGCCUAUUGUGGUGGACUUGGCCACCGCAUCCGAGAUUGUCCUAAACUGGAGCAUCAGAAGACCAUGGCUAUUGCAGGUUCGAGGAGGGAUUACUUUGGCUCAGGUGGUUAUCGGGGGGAGAUAUGAUUAUGCCUCAUGUGUGUAUAUUUCUGGAGCAGCUUUUGGCAUUUCCAUUACCUGCAUGGGUGCUUGUACCAGGUAGAGCUGGUUAAGAAUGGAUGGGCUAAUAUUUUAUUUAAAUGGAUAGUCCAUUUUAUGUGUGUAAAUAUCUGAAGCAGCUUUUGGCAUUUCCAUACCUGCAUGGGUGCUUAUGCCAGGUAUAGCUGGUUAAAAAUGGAUCGGAGAAUAUUUUAUUUAAAUAAAAAGAUGAUAUAUUGAACAAAUUACUUACUAAUGGUUCAUAUCUAAAAAGCUUGACCAAUCAAGAGGUCGGUCAUGGAGGAUAAAUUUUCAGAAUGCAUCAGCCUUUGGUUCGAGUACUUUUGAUUUCCUUGUUUUCACUGUCGAUGAUCUUGCCUGUCAGUCAGCUGUUGGUGCAAAAGUUUUGCUUCCAUUCAUGUCAAAUGCAGCGCUUGAUCAAACAAGUGGUUUCCUUACCCCAUCUUGAAACAUGUGGCUUCAAUAUCAACGUGAAAUGCAAUCGAAUGAUGCUCCUUUUGAAAUAUAAAACCGUAAGAUCUAUGAGACAUUCUUCUUUGUUUUACCCCUACGGAGUUCGGUCAAAUGCUGACCACAAUAAAUACAUACAUACAUAUACAAUACAUAACAUACACGCAACACAUAACAUACGUACAUACAUAAAUGGAUGUAUGUAUGUAUGUAUUUUAAAGUUAUGCAACAUUUGACUACAACACGAGAUUCGUGUAAAGCGCUGAAUUUUAAAGUCACACAAGACGCAGGAAUAAUCUCCAGCAGUUCUUCAAAGAGGGAUGUGGUUGAUCUGCUGGCUCCAGGACUGGAUGAGCAAUGGUAAAGUGGAUUUGAGCUCGGUGCUUUGGCUGCUAGCUUCCAGCAGGAAGAUUUUCUGGAACAAGAUAUAUUUGUUGAGGGCCUGUUAGGAUGUUUUGUAUCCGUUAUCCUCGUAGUUCUAAGCCCUCACCGGAAGUUGAGAACCGAAGAGAGGCGAGCAGAGAAAAUAAGCGCUUCCCGCUCGUAGAAUUUUGAGGAAUAUGGAUUCCUUCAUUGAUGUGGUUUACUUUAUCCCUGAAAUCUUGGGAUUAGAUAAUCCCUCUCCCCCCAAAUCAUGCAGUCGCUCCCUUGACUUCAUAUUCCUCGCUUUCCCAUCGAAAGCAUAAUAUUCAAGGAUAAUGGAAGCAAAGCAUCCGAGCUGGCCUGUCUUUUUAUCAUGCAUAGGAUAUCCGAGUUCUCUCGAUCAUACGGUGCCUUACAGAACUUGAGCUGAGGUCCUGUGGAUACUAUGCAACAAAAUAGAGAACAGAUAGAUAAUUUUGUGUUCAGGGUGAUUUAGGUCGACUGUGCAGCAACUUUGAUGCACCGUGGAGUGUAAUACUUAUAUGGAUGUGUUGCUGGAAAUUGGACCUAGAGGUGACCGCGAACCAAGGAGGAGGAGCUCCGGCGGGUGGUGCGGCGGCGAACAGCUCUCUCCGGAGGAUCUGCAAAAAGCCGGUGGCCGGGGGUUUCGGCGCUGGCCCUCCGAUGCUUAAGUCAGAGAGAGGGUUUUCUUGUAGACAAAAGAUAGAGAUUACGUAAAAGAUGUCUAGAGGAAGGAGAAGAAGAAGCCCCCCUUGCCUUGAGAUCUUUCCCCCUUUUUAUAGGAGGGGGUGUAAGGGUUACCUGUGACUGGACGUAACCAUGCGAAUUAAUGAGUUACCGUACUGAUUGGACGUGAUCGUACGAAUUAAUGAGUUACCGUAGACGGCUCGAGAUUUUGAGCUGGCUGGCGACUCGUUGAGAUCGUGUGCAUUUAAACGUUGACAGUCGUUGAGGUGGAGAUCGCAUAAUUUGACCCCGGAUGAGGAGGAGGAGGAGAACUUGAUUUUCGGUGGAGUGGGGAGGUCUGCUUUUCUCUUUGACUGGGUCUUCCUUGGCUUUGAGGUUGGUCAGGCUUAACUUAGCCGAGAUUGAGGUUAUGAGCUCUGGGGUCAUUGGUGUUGAGACCGAGUGUUCUGAGGUCGGGUGCACUGAGGUUGAUCGCCUUGAGGUCGGACGUCUUGAGGUCAGACGCCGGAAGAGUAUGUUCGAUGCCGUCACGUUCGUCAUCAAGUGCGGCGAUUUAUCCACGUGUUUUGAACGAUCCAUUUUCCCCCCAACAGGAUGCAUGAUGACACAAAUUUUUUUUGUGGAUCCAUGCAUGACCGAUCACCACAUAUCUCAAAGCUGCUAGACAUAUUCUUUUUUUUUUUUUUAUUUUACUUUUGAGCCGGCUCCAUUACAGAGCCUCUUAGAAUAGAUACAGCCUAUAAGCUUAGUCACAAUCAAAUCAUAAAAAUAUUGGGGUAAGCUCCGACGAGGACUUCUGUCUCUCUGCCAGUAUGCUCUGCUGCAUAAAGUGCGAUAUUUUAUUUUCUGGAUAGUAUAUACUAAAUUUAAUUUCUCUCUCUCUUUUUUUUAAUACAAAGUUCCGCCAACUUUUGCUGCGGUGAAAGCAAUUGGUGCAAACUACAAACGUCGUUUAGUGAAACUGCUACUGGAACCUUCAGCACCCAAUUAGAUUGCUGAAAAAUAAAAACAGAAAAAAGGAGAAAAAUAUUAGAACAAGGUUUAUUUCUUCUUAGGUAUGGGGUGGGAACCCAUAAGUACGGAGCAUUGCUGACCUUAGUAAGAUGGAGAGGGUUGGCAACCAGCCAAGGCUGGUUGGUGAACCAUGUCUUUUGUAGAUCGGAGAGGGUCUAAGUGAGAAAAAAAAGAAAGACAAAAGAGCAAUAUUUUGUUAAAGGUCUAUAAUUUAAAUUGUUGAAGAUGAAGCAAGGCAAGUGCGAUGAUAGCAGUACUAAUGCAUCAGAUCCCAUCAGAACUGCACAGGUAAGCAUGCUUUCGUAUCGUGUACGUUGCACUCCUUUUUAAUUUUUUUCCUCGACUCUUCUAUUUUUGUAAAUUCUGAUUUCUUCUAAUAAAUUGGGAGGAAUGCCUUUAUUCCCUCCUUAUCCACUCAAAAAACAAUAAAGAAGUAGAAGCAAAACGGAUACAGAACAGUAAACCAUACUUUAAAUAUUUUCUUCAAUUUUCUGUACAGUUUUCCUACUUCACAUCACAGCUCUGCAUGCAUAUAAUCCCGUAAUAGUUUUUUUGAGAAAAAAUAAUCCCUCCAUAAUUACUGUAUUAGUUUACUGCAUUAGAUCUGAUCUGUAUCUACCUUAUUAACUUAAAUGUAUAAAUGAAAAAUUAAAAUAACAGCCACUACACAACAGGAUUAUCAGCUGUUAUUAACUUUUUUUUCUACUAUUGAUUAAAUUGGAAUAAUGCUGUAAAAUUGUUUGUCUUCAUACAAGUUCAACAUAAUAUAUAUUCUCUCAUAAGAAGCGAAAGAAAAAACACUUAACAGUGAUGCCGUACUCUCGUCGUCGUCCAUUAUAUCCUGUUUUAAAAAUUAAUAGCAGCCAUUGGAUGGUCAUUAAAGGAUCGAAUCGGACAUAUAGAGGACUGUUAUUUCUGUUAUAACAGUUAAUAAGUACGCUUCCUAACAUAAUCGUCCAUUUUAUGAUAUUAUUACUUUGCAAGCUUGUUAGACAGUCAGCAAUUGUACCCAUUUGAAGAUCUUUGUCUGAAAUCCACUUUGGAAUUGCCUGUAAGAGUUGUCUAUACAAUCUCAAGCCAAGAAUCCAAUACCUGCUCUAAUCUCAGCCAACACGUCUAUAGCCAAGAAUCGUCCAUCAUGCUGUCAGCUUGUGACAUUCCUUUGCAGCAGCAAUGGAAUUCCAUCUGCAAAUGAUAAAUGAUUGAGAAUGGAUCAUAGAUCCUCUAACUUUUAAUUUGUUCCUCGUAUAUCUUAGAAGCAAACCUUCCCCUCUUCUAAUAUUCCUAGAGAAAACGUAGGGUCGCCACCUUAAAAUACCUUGGUCACAACUAUGGAACCAUUUCCCAUAUAUAGUUUGACUCAGAAGUCAGAACCUCCUCUCAAAUGGAGGGAUGCAGCCAAUUAGAUAAUAUAUAUAUAUAUAUAUAUAUAUAUAUAUAUAUAUAUAUAUAUAUAUAUAUAAUAAUAANNNNNNNNNNNNNNNNNNNNUAUAUAUAUAUAUAUAUAUAUAUAUAUAUAUAUAUAUAAAAUCUUUCAUAAGUUAAAUAAUCAAAACUACAUUCAUACUAAUACCGCAUAGAGGUCCCUAGAAAAUUUUCAUCCAGAGAACUAAUUUUUUAAACAUGCCAUUUGUUCUCCCAAGAGGUGUGAUUCUUACCAACUAUCAAAACACUUUAAUAUGUUUAACAGAUUUAUGUAUUCAUCUAUGAUUGAGACUGGAUUUAUAUGAUAUCCUUUUUGUUCAAUGCGUAGCAGUAGUUUUAGCAGUUCACUUAUUUGCUUGUAAGAUCAUUAAGUGCACUACUACAACAUCAUGCAACAAUUAUCGACAUAGAAAUCAUUAAUAUCUUAAAUCUAAAUGCAGGAUGCCCAUAAAUUAGAAAGAACAGCCUUGCUGCCCAAAAUAGAUCUAGAGCUGUGGCACUCAUUCUAGCUAGUUUACAAUUUUAUUGCAUUUCGAUAAAAGAUGAGACACUGAAGGUUAUUGUCUUGUAUGAUAACUGAGAGUUUCUCGAUCAUUCUGCCACAAAAUCAGUUUUAUGACUGCACCGGGAUAAACCUGGAAAUGAUUCAAGAAAACCAAGCUUAUUGGCUCAUACUUUAUGUACGAAUCGGCAGAACUACAAAUUAUCUUGAAUUGCUCUGAAAUUGAGAUGUGGUCCAACUAUCCAUGUAAACAGCUCUGGAGAAAAAAGAAAUCUUUCCCAUCCUAUUGUUAAUUUUCUCAAAUUCAAUAAAUGAGUUGUUCCAAUCUGUCUGUUCUCUUUUUUUUAAAGAGAGGGAUAGAGGGAGAGGGACAUCGUUCCUCAAAUUCAAAAAGUUUCAACUGUUGUGGAUGUGUUGAUACUUGAUAUGGACUCUUCAUCUUGCAGUUGGUAUAUAUGCAUCACCAACAUCACAGCUUUCCUUUCAAAGGGAAAAGAAGGGAGAGUACAAUAUUUCAGCCCAUUUCUUUCUUGAAUAAAAGAUAACAGUAGUCCAUGUAGGGGCACAAGACCUUCCUUUUGAAACCCUACCUUUUGAGUAGACCUUUGGAAGCCAUAUUCCCACGCUAACCAUUUAAUUGACCUAUUCCUAGAUAUCUCGCAGAAUAUAAAAUGAAUGGGACCUUCUAUUCAAGCACCAACCUAUCACGGAAAAAAAAAAAAACAAAGACUUCCUUUUCUUAUGCAGUUUGGUUCGAUUAUCAGUAGGCUAAUAACAUAUUUUGCAUAUCUUAUCCUUAUUAUUUCUUUUCUUUUUUCAAUUAUAUCUAUGUCUCCUAUUGUGAAUAUGACUGCUUGAUGUCAAUACCUUAGAAAAGUGGCACCCAGAAGAACCAUAGAAAAUGAUUAAUAAAACAAAUAGCAAACCUUAGUUUCUAUAUGAUGACAAAAAUUAAUGGCAGCGACAGACAAUGAUGAUGUUUAGAUUCUUACCUUGGUAGGGACAUGGAGACCGCCAGCCCAUGCCAAUGACCAAAUUUCUGUAAUCUCCUCGGAUUUGACAAAUAUCCAUGAAGGCGAAUUUGACGAACAUUUCUUUAAGUGGAUUGCUAUUGGUAGAUGGUCUGCUGCAUGUAUUCUUAGAUUCAUAUAAUAUUGAUGAUGAUGAUGAUGACGACUGUAGUAGUAACGACCACCACCACCACCACCACAACAACAACAAAUGAUGAUCAUCAUGCUUGAAGUAUUAGCGUUCAAAAGUGCAUCAUGGUAAUUGGUUCAUAUCUUAAUUUAUAUUCUGCAAAGAUCUCCCUCAACGACAGGGAGAGACCAUAAGCAACAAUUAUCACAAGAGUGAUCAUCACAGACAAAAGUCCCUUGUCUUCUGUAUUUAUAGCUUCUGGUCAAAUGAAAAAACGAGAAUGAGAAAAAGAACAGGAACACAUUAUCUCUGCAUCUCCUAGCUAGCAACCACUCUCUUUUCGUACCUCAACUAUACCUGUAGUCUGUAUGACUAAAAAGAAAAAAGCUAAAUGGCCUCCACAAACUAUAGAGCCCCACCACCAUUAGCUGAGCUGUUUCUACUUAUUAUAGUACACUCACCACUAUUUUGUUCCCCAAGGAAGGUGGAUGGCUCCACUGAGCUUUUCAUUGAUUAGAAAAUAAAGGUACAGUAAAAGAAGGCAGGUUUUAUCUGCCCUUUGAACCUACUCUCAUUUCCAGCAAUCCAAAGUUAUUUAAUUUAGCCAGAACAACACAAUCCUAGCUAUAGCUGACUCAGAAUCGCCCAUAAGUUUGAUCAGUUCAACUCACAAACACAAAGU